GCCCUUCGUAGUGUACCAAUGCUGCUUCUACAAAUAGCUGCCUGUAGAUCAUCACACUUUGACCCCUUGGUGCCUCCCAGACUCUUUCUUUUAUCUUCUCUUCUCAAAGUUGGAACAUUGUUCACAACAUUUGGUUGACUCUGAGGAUGUUUUAGUAAAUGAGAACAGACCAAUGGCUGCUUCCCUUGUGUAGCAUCUUUUUCUGUUGAAAUCUGGAACUGAAGGGACUUCGUAUUUUCCACAGUGUCACAUGUCUUAGAUUGCUCCUCACUUCUUUCUAGAUCAUCUUGUUCUUUCCUUUGUUGCAGCCGCAUUAGCCUCUGGCAGUCCUGGUUGGGGGUUAAAAUACCAGUUGCGCUCAUCCUUGUACCAGCCAUCACUCCUGAUACAGGAUUCGUCCAUACAAAUCAUGCUCUUUGUACAUCAAGUAGCUUUUCAGUCCUGGUGGGAAAGGAGCUGAGUUUAUGAACUUUGGAUCACCCAGCCUUAGUGGAGUCAUCUCUCUCCUGAUGGCAAGUCUGCAUUGGUGUUGCAGUGAACGAGGAUUCCCUGAGAAAGAACCAUUUUCAGCUUGGAGCAGAUAAUAACAUGAUUGACGUAGUCGAGGAGAACCCGCACAGCUCUUCCAGAGAACUGCACUAGCCAAGAGACGCUGAUGAAAUCACAAAACUACAUGCAACAGAUGAUAAGGACAGAAGUAAAGAUACAUAUACCACACAUGUAAAAAAAAAAAAAUACAUUUCAUUCAGAGUUUAGUAAGCUUAGAAUCCAUUAGCUCUGUUCCAAAAUCUAGUGAGUAACCUUGCUAUCUACUGCUUA